rnacentral:piRNA from 1 species
UACCUUCUCACUGAGUGUCAGCGCCCC